GGUUAUACGGGAGGCCCAAGUUGGCAGAAGUCGGCGUAAAGGGUGGUUAAGAAUAGACCUAAAUUAAAGCCGAACAUCUUCCGGGCUGUUAUACGCAUCCGAAGACAAGAAGCUCAACUACGAAAGUAGCUUUAUAUUUUCUGACCCCACGAAAGCUAGGGCACAAACUGGGAUUAGAUACCCC
rnacentral:rRNA from 1 species